AUUGAACGCUGGCGGCAGGCCUAACACAUGCAAGUCGAGCGAGCGGCGGACGGGUGAGUAAUGUAUGGGGACUGCCCGAUAGCGGGGGAUCACGACUGGAAACGGUGGCUAAUACCGCAUACUAUCCGAUACCCCAUGUGGGAAUAGCUAGUAGGUAAGGUAAUGGCUUACCUAGGCGACGAUCCCUAGCCGGUCUGAGAGGAUGCUCAGCCACACUGGGACUGAGACACGGCCCAGACUCCUACGGAGGCAGCAGUGGGGAAUAGUGCGCAAUGGGCGCAAGCCUGAUGCAGCCAUGCCGCGUGUAUGAAGAAGGCCCUAGGGUUGUAAAGUACUUUCAGUCGGGAGGCGUUACCGACAGAAGAAGCACCGGCUAACUCCGUGCCAGCCGCCGCGGUAAUUC
rnacentral:rRNA from 1 species